UGAAAUUAGAACCUUUACCGGGGCAGGAUGGAGUACACUAACACCAGACAGAGAACCAGGUGGAGAGAUGGAAUUAGAACCUUUGCCGGAGCAGGAUGGAGUACACUAACACCAGACAGAGAACCAGGUGGAGAGAUGGAAUUAGAACCUUUGCCGGAGCAGGAUGGAGCACACUAACACCAGACAGAGAACCAGGUGGAGAGAUGGAAUUAGAACCUUUACCGGAGCAGGAUGGAGUACACUAACACCAGACAGAGAACCAGGUGGAGAGAUGGAAUUAGAACCUUUACCGGAGCAGGAUGGAGUACACUAACACCAGACAGAGAACCAGGUGGAGAGAUGGAAUUAGAACCUUUACCAGAGCAGGAUGGAGCACACUAACACCAGACAGAGAACCAGGUGGAGAGAUGGAAUUAGAACCUUUACCGGGGCAGGAUGGAGCACACUAACACCAGACAGAGAACCAGGUGGAGAGAUGGAAUUAGAACCUUUACCGGGGCAGGAUGGAGCACACUAACACCAGACAGAGAACCAGGUGGAGAGAUGGAAUUAGAACCUUUACCGGUGCAGGAUGGAGUACACUAACACCAGACAGAGAACCAGGUGGAGAGAUGGAAUUAGAACCUUUACCGAGGGCAGGAUGGAGUACACUAACACCAGACAGAUGACCAGGUGGAGAGAUGGAAUUAGAACCUUUGCCGGGCAGGAUGGAGUACACUAACACCAGACAGAGAACAAGGUGGAGGACGCAGGGAAAUAAAUUUGUGGUAGAAUGAACUUGUAAUAGCUAUUAAUGAUAAAUGAAGGAGGAGAAAGAAGUGGAGGAAGGGAAAGUGGAACAAAAGGUGGAACAGAGUGGAAAGGAAACAAUAGAGAGGAAUAAAGAGGGAAAGCUUCUGGAGGAUUUUUUUUUUAUAUCUAAGUCAUCGCUUGAUUUAAUUCUCUUCGCUUUCCUUUUAAAUACGAGAAGUUCCGGAAGUGAUAUGAAAGGUCUCUCUCUCUCUCUCUCUCUCU